rnacentral:rRNA from 1 species
ACUCCUACGGGAGGCAGCAGUAGGGAAUCUUCCACAAUGGGCGCAAGCCUGAUGGAGCAACACCGCGUGAGUGAAGAAGGGUUUCGGCUCGUAAAGCUCUGUUGUUAAAGAAGAACACGUAUGAGAGUAACUGUACAUACGUUGACGGUAUUUAACCAGAAAGUCACGGCUAACUACGUGCCAGCAGCCGCGGUAAUACGUAGGUGGCAAGCGUUAUCCGGAUUUAUUGGGCGUAAAGAGAGUGCAGGCGGUUUUCUAAGUCUGAUGUGAAAGCCUUCGGCUUAACCGGAGAAGUGCAUCGGAAACUGGAUAACUUGAGUGCAGAAGAGGGUAGUGGAACUCCAUGUGUAGCGGCGGAAUGCGUAGAUAUAUGGAAGAACACCAGUGGCGAAGGCGGCUACCUGGUCUGCAACUGACGCUGAGACUCGAAAGCAUGGGGUAGCGAACAGGAUUAGAUACCCUGGUAGGAUAGCG